UAUUGCACGGCCUAAUUGAUUUUGCUAGUGACACGUUUACACAAGGGGAGGGCUAUUCAAAUUCCACAACAACUCUUCAGAUGCUCUGCGACAUGUAUAAAUACAAGAGAGAAACCUGGCACAAACUAAAUCUAACCAGUUUUCAGGAACAGAAUACUUCUUUAUUUGUGGUAAACCUCAACUAGCAAGUCAAAAUGAGUGACGCACCAGAACUCCCAAAAGCGGAACAAAUAAAGAAGGAGGAAAGUCAUGACAAAAAGGAGGGAAAAGGAGAGCACGGACAUGGGCCUGGUGAGCACAAACACGGGAGUGGUGAACACAAACAUGAGCACGGGGUAGGGGGACACGAUCAUAGUGAACAGGGAAAGGGAAAAGGAUGCUGCAAAGACUAAUGAAGACAGCAGGAAUAAACCACCCCACUGCACCCCUACACUCAACAAUGCACUCUCUGUAUCUGCCUCCUCUCAAUACUUCACAACUUUGGUCACCAAAACUGAAUUGAAAUGGCAUGUUUAAAAAGAAAAAUAAUAAAUAUUUAACUAUGGCUGGUGUAACGGUACAAUAAACUUCAUAGAUCCUUAUGUUAAAAAUAAAAGAAUCCGCUGUGCUUUUUUCUGAA